rnacentral:rRNA from 1 species
CCGUUCAAUACUGCGGAGCUCGAGGGCAGAAGAGGGGGGUGGAAUUGCUGGUGUAGUGGUGAAAUGCGUAGAUAUCAGCAGGAACACCUGUGGCGAAAGCGGCCCCCUGGUCUGCUCCUGACACUCAGACGCGAAAGCUAGGGGAGUGAACGGGAUUAGAAACCCCGGUAAUCCUAGCCGUAAACGAUGGAUGCUAGGUGUGGGUGGUAUUGACCCCAUCCGUGCCGAAGCCAACGCGUUAAGCAUCCCGCCUGGGGACUACGGCCGCAAGGUUAAAACUCAAAGGAAUUGACGGGGACCCGCACAAGCAGCGGAGCGUGUGGUUUAAUUCGAUGCUACACGAAGAACCUUACCCAGGUUUGACAUGCGGGUAGUAGUGAAGCGAAAGCGGAACGAUCCUUCGGGAAGCCUGCACAGGUGCUGCAUGGCUGUCGUCAGCUCGUGCCGUGAGGUGUUUGGUUAAGUCCACUAACGAGCGCAACCCCUGUCGUCAGUUACAUGUGUCUGGCGAGACUGCCGGUCUUAAACCGGAGGAAGGUGGGGAUGACGUCAAGUCAGCAUGGCCUUUAUAUCUGGG